CCCCUCAAGGCAGCACUGACCCCACACACGCAGCAGCCAGGAGGAGCAGGCCGGACAGAAUUCCCAAGAGACUCUCCUACUUUGAUGGCUGUGAUGCGGAGAGGCUGAAGGUGCAGUGCAGGGCUGUGGCGGUGCCCUCGGAGUGGAUUCUGUCCGGGCAGGCGGCGCACCCCAGGCCACACCCAAAGAACGUCAGGUAUUUGGAGGAGUACAAGUUGAAGGAACGGCGUGCUGACGGAACCAUUGUAGCCGUGCCUUGCUCCAUGCCAGACACCACCAACACCACCACAGGGAAGAAGAAGAAAAAGAAAAGUGUGGUGUGUGUGUCUCAGGCUGGGAAGGUAGACGCCACAUUACCACACCAGGAGGAAACACACACUGGCCUUCAGAACGGUGGUGUCAGUGAGGGUUCAGGGACAAAGAGAAGGAGAGGUGAGGUGUGUGUGUCUCAGGCUGGGAAUGGAGACGCCGCAUUACCACACCAGGAGGAAUCACUCAAUGGCCUUCAGAAUGGUGGUGUUGGUGAGGGUUUAAGUACAAAGAGAAGAAGAGGUGAGGUGUGUGUAUCUCAGGCUGGGGAGGAAGAGGAAGGAACUGUACAGGAGAAGCAGGAGGAAGCACUUAAUGGCCUCACGAAUGGUGGUUCUGGCUCAAAUACUGACAUGAUUAAACAUAGGAAGCAAACCCGAAGGAGAGGGAAGAAGAAGAAGAUGAAGGGAGGUGAUGAAGUGGCUGUACCUUAGAGGAAGAACACGGACAGAUAGAACAUGAAAAAGCACUAGUUACCCCUCACAGUGGCAGCGUUGGCUUAAGUACCGACAUUAGGAAACAGAGGAAGCAAACCCAAAAGAAAGGAAAGAAGAAGUUGAAGGGAGGCGAUGAAGUGGCCGUACCUUAGAGGAAGAACAAGGAUGGAUAGAAAAUGAAGGAAGAAGAAAACACUAGUUACCCCUCACGAUGACAGCAUUAGUGAAAGGAAGAGAUAGAAAGUGAAACAGAGGGAGUUGUGUGGCUUGUGUGUGUUGAACUUAAGAAGGAAGACACUGCAGGGUUUGAACAAGGAGAAACACUUACUUGGUGGUGACUGAAUGGUUGGCGCCUGGAUGCCAUGAACCUAAGGACCCAGGUUCGAAUCCCGCCGCAAGACACUGACAUUUCUCAACCAUAGGCGAGUGGUGGAAGGUUACCCACAUAUUGCCCAGGCCUUCAAUCAACCCUAAUUUCAGCGACUUUGGUCAGGAGGAGCACCGGGGGCAGCAUAGGCCAAGCAAGAGCCAUACAUCACAGCAGCCACUAUAAAUUAAAUUCACCUGUGCCAUGAACGGACUGGGGUCUUCCAAGAGGCCCCUCGAGAGAGCCUACUGGUGCUAUUGGCGGAGGAGAAGGAAGAGGAAAAACGAAAAGAGGAAGAAUUUUGUGGUACUGGUGAAGGAGAAGGAGGAAGAGGAAGAAAGGAAAGAAAAAAAUUGCAGCUACAAGGGAAGAGAAAACACAGAAAAAGAGACAAAUCAAGAGACUGAAGGAAAGGGAAUGGAGAGUUACAACAAGAAGAAGCACUUACUAGCCCUCAGAAUGGUGGCACUGGUGAAGGAGAAGAAGAAGAGGAAGAAAGGAAAGAAAACGAAAUCUGUGCCUUGUGAUUUUGGGCUGUGAAGAAGCUGAAGGAAGGCAAAGUAAUGGAGGGAAGAGAACGGACAGUCAAUUACAACAAGAAAAAGCACUUACUAAUCAACAGAACGGUGGCACUGGUGAAGGAGAAGAAGGAAGAAGAGGAAAAAAGGAAAGAGAAAGAUAUCUGCAGCUACAAGGGAAGAGAGAAAACACAGAAAAAGACAAAUGAAGAGACUGAAGGAAAGGGAAUGGACAGUUAUGACAAGAAGAAGCACUUACUAGUCUUUAUAAUGGUAGCACUGGUGAAGGAGAAGAAGAAAGAAGAGGAAGAAAGAAAGGAAAAAGAAAUCUGUGCCUUGUGAUUUUAGGUUGUGACAGUUACAAUAGGAAUUACACAGACCUUCACAGUGUUGGCAUGGGCUCAGAUUCAGACACACAAGCACUAGUGGAAACAAUCGCCUUCACCAUUACUUUUUCCUGUCUCUCCACUCUUACAAACACUUCCUCCUCCCUCUCCCUCUCCCUCACAGCCAAACAGUUUCAUGGAGCCAUCUGGUCCCAUAAAGCACUAGUGGAAACAAUCACCUUCACCAUUACUUUUUCCUUCCUCUCCACUCUUACAAACACUUCCUCCUCCCUCUCUCCCUCUCCCUCCCUCCCAGCCAAACACUUUAUGGAGCCAUCUGGUCCCAUAAAGCACUAGUGGAAACAAACGCCUUCACCAUUACUUUUUCCUUCCUUUCCACUCUUACAAACACUUCCUCCUCCCUCUCUCCCUCUCCCUCCCUCCCUCCCAGCCAAACACUUUCAUGGAGCCAUCUGGUCUGAUAAAGCACAAGUAUUUUUAGAAUGGCAAAAACAUGUAUAAUGAGCUCACAGCGGAAGACGAAACAGUGCACGCGACCUUUUGUAUACUCGAACUUUUGUCGCGGUGGAAAACAAACAUGAUAUACAGACAGACAGACAACAUUGAAGGGAGGCGAUGAAAUGGCCGUCCCUUCAGCAUGACCAGGGUGGAAGGCAGUGUGAGAGGUGAAGAAGGAAGGAGAAAGAGAACAUCCCAUCACACUGUCCUUCACAACACUGGUGCUUAGAAAAGAGAAAGAAGAAAAAUAAAAUAAGAAAGAAAGGUGUAGCUCUCAGGAAUGUUAGUUAGGCUGACACUUGCAACAGAGAAAACACUUGAGUGGUGGCGUGGACUCAAGUUCUGACUCACACAAAGAACAGCUGAAACAAAUGUGAAAUAAUGUGUGUGUGUGUGUGUGUGUGUGUGUGUGUGUGUGUGUGUGUGUGUGUGUGUGUGUGUGUCUAUUUACCUAGUUGUAGUUUUACAGGGCUUACGCUCGUGUGGUCCCGUCGCCAUAUCUGUAUUUGUCCAACUUUUCCUAAAAGUUUUGCACACUCUUCGCUGAUACUACAUCUUCACUUAGACUGUUCCAAACCUCUAUAUUUCUUUGCGGGAAGCUAUAUUUCUUUAUGUCUCUCAAGCAUCUUCCCUUCCUCAAUUUUUUACUAUGUCCUCUUGUGUUCCUGUUGUUUAUUCCUUCUCUUAGUAGUAACUCCUCAUUAUCUACUUCUUCCAUUUUAAUCAAUAAUUUAUAAAUUUGUAUUAGGUCUCCCCUUUCUCUUCUUUGUUCAAGUGUUGGUAGGUCCAUUUCCUUUAACCCGUAAAGGCCGAUAGGUCCCAUAUGGGACUGCGUCACCGCAGGCCGAUAGGUCCCUUAUGGGACAGCUACUUUACACGUGUAUCAAAACUGCGCUAUCAUUGGUAACGCUGCUAAUUUGGCUUGAGGAGUAGGCUUAUAUCUACGACUACCCCACUGUCACAGAGGGUCCAAAAACAAACAAACAGGCCCAUAAUAGACCGGGAAAAGGCCCUGGGCGCACAACGGACCGAGUCUGACACCUCAGCAGUCCAGCCCAGCUCGGAACGAGGGUUGCACGCGCCAACACAAUCUCUGACUACCGGCGAUUAUUCUGAAGCAAUCAGGGAGAGCUAAGCAAAAAUAUUUCACAUGCUGAUGUAUAUAUGUGUAUACUAACAGCUAAAAUUGCUUCCAGGUCAUUCUGCAAGAGUUGAUUUUAAGACGAUUAAUGCGGCUGUGGGGGGGUAGACGCAGGGGGUAUCGUCGGCCUUUACGGGUUAAUCUUUCUUCAUAUGUCAAUCCCUCCAGCUCUGGAACCAUUUUUGUUGUCAGACCACACCGCCUCUGCAUAUUCCCAUUUUGGUCUGAUCAUAGUGGUUAUUAACUUUUUCAUCAUAUCCUUAUCCAUGUAGUGGAAUGCUAAUCCUAUAUUUCUCACCAUUUUAGACGUAUCGCCGAAUAUCAGAUUAACAUGACUCUCAGGCUGUUGAUUAUCUUGUAUUGCCACUCCCAUAUCUCUCUCUUCUUGAACUUUCCUUAAUAUUUAUAUGUCCAUUUUGGUCUUCCUUCAUUCUUUCCCAUUUCCAUAACAUGACAUUUCUUCACAUUGAAUUCCAUCUCCCAUUUCAUACUCCAUUCCCAAAUCUUUUUCAGGUCUUCUUGCAGAAUUUCACAGUCUUUACUGUUUCUUAUAUGUCUUAGCAGUUUUGCAUUGUCUGCAAACAGGCUCAUAUAACUGUUUACUCCCUCUGGCAUGUCAUUGACAUAUACUAGGAAAAGUAUUGGUGCCAAUACCGAUCCCUGAGGCACUCCACUCCACAAUUCUCCAUUCCGAUCUCAUGUCCUUUACCACUGUGUGUGUGUGUGUGUGUGUGUGUGUGUGUGUGUGUGUGUGUGUGUGUGUGUGUGUGUUUACCUAUUUGUAGUAUACAGGGCCUGAGCUCAAGCUCGGUCAGUCCUGUCUCCCAAUUUAUAUUUGUCCAGCUUUUCCGUCAUUAUAUGGACACUACCCGUUCAACAAUGUAUUUGCUAAGUCCAUUCCCUGUAUCCACACUCCUGUAUGGAAAACUGAAUUUCUGUGUCUUUUAAACAAGUCCCCUUUCUCAAUUUCUUACUCUGUCCUCUUAGUUGUCUCCUCCCUUCCAUAUCAAUUAAAUAAUUUCUAUCUAACACAUGCCACUCGUAUUCUCUCACAUAAAAGCUACUUCUCGUCCCUUCCCCAUUUUCAUACAAGACCAACAUAACGGUCAUAUUCUGCAACAUUUCAGCGCCCAAGCACACACACUUGUCAAGGCUUUCGUUUGAGUUGUGGGAGGCAUUUCCAGGGGUAGUUUCAUGGCCCUGGUGGUAGUUUGACCCUUAUUCUGUAACAAGAACUUAAAAUACCACCCUUUAGAGCCUGACUGAUCUCCUUUUCAGCCUUUGGGAAUAGUUGUUGUGAGGGGCGGAAGUGUUUGAGAAUACCAACCUUCUUAGUAUCUCCAUCUCUCCAAUGCUUUCAUCUCCUUUAUGACAAUCUUCUCACUUAAAAACUAAUUCUUGUUCUCCAUUUCCCUAGAAGACUUCGUGUAUCUCCAAUGCUUUUGAUCUCCAUGUAACAAAAUUCUCCAUCUCUUUGUUCCUUUCCUCUCUUCCUCCUUGAGUAACCUUUGGGGUUCUCUUUUAAAUUAAUGGUUGAAAACUGGACUCGGAACUCGGACCCUCAGAGCUCAGCAUUCACCACUUCCAGCCAUUGUGUAAUAUAGUGAUAGUUGUAGAAGUAGUAAUAGUAUCAGGUCCUCUGCAUGCUUCUGAUAUAUUCCAACUUUCUUCUUUUCUCUUAUUUUUAUAUCAUAUUUCUCUCUCCUCUAUGCCGCUCCAUUCAAAUAAGACUUUCUUUAUCUCCAUAUUUAUUCAGUUAACUUACAUUGUUGAGAGAGAGAGAGAGAGAGAGAGAGAGAGAGAGAGAGAGAGAGAGAGAGAGAGAGAGAGAGAGAGAGAGAGAGAGAGAGAGAGAGAGAGAGAGAGAAUUAUUUAUGUGUCGGGGGUCAUGUGUCUGUGGGGUUUGCAAACAUCCUGUGGGGUGACAUCCUGUGGGACCUGUGGCUGAGAGAGAGAGAGAGAGAGAGAGAGAGAGAGAGAGAGAGAGAGAGAGAGAGAGAGAGAGAGAGAGAGAGAGAGAGA